rnacentral:rRNA from 1 species
GAUGAACGCUGGCGGCGUGCUUAACACAUGCAAGUCGAACGGGAAUUACUUUAUUGAAACUUCGGUCGAUUUAAUUUAAUUCUAGUGGCGGACGGGUGAGUAACGCGUGGGUAACCUGCCUUAUACAGGGGGAUAACAGUCAGAAAUGGCUGCUAAUACCGCAUAAGCGCACAGAGCUGCAUGGCUCAGUGUGAAAAACUCCGGUGGUAUAAGAUGGACCCGCGUUGGAUUAGCUGGUUGGUGGGGUAACGGCCCACCAAGGCGACGAUCCAUAGCCGGCCUGAGAGGGUGAACGGCCACAUUGGGACUGAGACACGGCCCAGACUCCUACGGGAGGCAGCAGUGGGGAAUAUUGCACAAUGGGGGAAACCCUGAUGCAGCGACGCCGCGUGAAGGAAGAAGUAUCUCGGUAUGUAAACUUCUAUCAGCAGGGAAGAUAGUGACGGUACCUGACUAAGAAGCCCCGGCUAACUACGUGCCAGCAGCCGCGGUAAUACGUAGGGGGCAAGCGUUAUCCGGAUUUACUGGGUGUAAAGGGAGCGUAGACGGUGUGGCAAGUCUGAUGUGAAAGGCAUGGGCUCAACCUGUGGACUGCAUUGGAAACUGUCAUACUUGAGUGCCGGAGGGGUAAGCGGAAUUCCUAGUGUAGCGGUGAAAUGCGUAGAUAUUAGGAGGAACACCAGUGGCGAAGGCGGCUUACUGGACGGUAACUGACGUUGAGGC